rnacentral:lncRNA from 1 species
AUACCUUGUCCAUAGACUUGGUAAACUAUCCCUUUAGUCUACCAAAGCCUUGAACUUUAGGCUAUGAAAGCGGUACACCAAGUUAGGAACAAAUAGUCAGAUGCAUCUUUCAUGCCUAGGGUUUCCACUUACGUUGGCAAUGGAAUGGUCUCCAUCUAAAGUUCUGGCAGGUAGUAGUGGGCCUAUUUGGAAACCCGAUCCUCUGCUCUGUCUCUCGAGACAAAUUUAGUCGGGAUAAAUGGAUCCUCACGCAAAAGGAUGACACACACACACACACACACACACAAUGCUGUGAUAAUAACACUGUAUCUGCCGGGGUUAUUGAGGUAACAACCACACAAGUUUAUUGGGAUCCAGCUUGGAAAUCCUGUAUCUUUCGGGCUUCAUUUUUCUCCUGUAAACUGAUGGCCCUAACAUCAGAGACGAUGACAGAGAUAUGUCUAGACCUGGACUGCUUCGACGAGGAGAGGAAACUGUACUCGGCAGAAUCACUGAACGACCUCCACAAGAUGAACGUGUGCUCCGACCCCAAGGACCUGCUGAAACUCACAGAACAGCCAAUGAGCUCUCAGACCACACCCACUGCUGGGGAAAGAAGAGAUACAGGAGGCCAGGGUGCAUUGGAAGACACCUGUGAGUGAGCAGCACGAGCCAGCUAGAGCUCUGGCAGUGGAGCCAACGCCUCAGCGGGAACCCGACUUUAUCUCCUCUUUAGAAACAUUGCCUAGGAGCCCAAAACACAGCCACCCUGACAGGAAGGGAGAGACAGGGGCCAAUACUGAAUACUUUACCUAUAUCAUGUGCUAAACAUCCUUUCAUUCCCUUAAUAUGCUGGUGAGUGAGACUAUUCUGUACCCUUUCGUAGCCUCCUUACACUUGUUAAUAAAAACAUUAUUAUACUUCCUCUU